CCUGCAUCCCUUACUCACAUGAGUAGUCGUAUCUAUUUCAGUGGGACUACUCGGUGAGUAAGGAUAGCAGG
ensembl:miRNA